AACGAACGCUGGCGGCAGGCCUAACACAUGCAAGUCGAACGCCGUAGCAAUACGGAGUGGCAGACGGGUGAGUAACACGUGGGAACGUACCCUUCGGUUCGGAAUAACUCAGGGAAACUUGAGCUAAUACCGGAUACGUCCGAGAGGAGAAAGAUUUAUCGCCGAGGGAUCGGCCCGCGUCUGAUUAGCUUGUUGGUUAGGUAACGGCUCACCAAGGCGACGAUCAGUAGCUGGUCUGAGAGGAUGAUCAGCCACAUUGGGACUGAGACACGGCCCAAACUCCACGGGAGGCAGCAGUGGGGAAUAUUGGACAAUGGGCGCAAGCCUGAUCCAGCCAUGCCGCGUGAGUGAUGAAGGCCCUAGGGUUGUAAAGCUCUUUUACCCGGGAAGAUAAUGACUGUACCGGGAGAAUAAGCCCCGGCUAACUUCGUGCCAGCCGCCGCGGUAAU
rnacentral:rRNA from 1 species